AGAGUUUGAUCCUGGCUCAGGAUGAACGCUAGCGGCAGGCUUAAUACAUGCAAGUCGUGGGGCAGCAGGGGUGUAGCAAUACACUCGCUGGCGACCGGCAAACGGGUGCGGAACACGUACGCAAUCUACCCAAAACUGGUGAAUAGCCCUCCGAAAGGAGGAUUAAUACACCGUAACCUAUUGAAGUGGCAUCACUUUAUUAGUAUAGCUCCGGCGGUUUUGGAUGAGCGUGCGGCUGAUUAGGUAGUUGGCGGGGUAACGGCCCACCAAGCCUGCGAUCAGUAACUGGUGUGAGAGCACGACCGGUCACACGGGCACUGAGACACGGGCCCGACUCCUACGGGAGGCAGCAGUAAGGAAUAUUGGUCAAUGGACGCAAGUCUGAACCAGCCAUGCCGCGUGGAGGAUGAAGGCCCUCUGGGUUGUAAACUUCUUUUAUAGGGGACGAAACCCUGGUAUUCUUACCAGAUUGACGGUACCCUAGGAAUAAGCACCGGCUAACUCCGUGCCAGCAGCCGCGGUAAUAC
rnacentral:rRNA from 1 species